rnacentral:rRNA from 1 species
AGAGUUUGAUCAUGGCUCAGGAUGAACGCUGGCGGCCGUGCCUAACACAUGCAAGUCGAGCGAGAAACUCACGAGUUGAUACUUCGGUUGAAACAUGUGAGCGGAAAGCGGCGGACGGGUGAGUAACGCGUAGGCAACCUGCCCCAUGCAGAGGGAUAGCCUCGGGAAACCGGGAUUAAAACCUCAUAACGCACGGACAAGACAUCUUGAUCGUGCCAAAGAUUUAUCGGCAAGGGAUGGGCCUGCGUCUGAUUAGUUAGUUGGUGAGGUAACGGCUCACCAAGGCGACGAUCAGUAGCCGACCUGAGAGGGUGAUCGGCCACAUUGGAACUGAGACACGGUCCAAACUCCUACGGGAGGCAGCAGUGGGGAAUAUUGCACAAUGGGGGAAACCCUGAAUGCAGCAACGCCGCGUGAAGGAUGAAGGCCCUUGGGUCGUAAACUUCUGUUCUAAGGGAAGAUAGUGACGGUACCUUAGGAGCAAGUCCCGGCUAACUACGUGCCAGCAGCGGC